rnacentral:rRNA from 1 species
AUACGUAGGGGGCGAGCGUUGUCCGGAUUUACUGGGCGUAAAGGGUGAGUAGGCGGUUAUAUGUGUCAGAUGUAAAAGGCUAUGGCUUAACCAUAGUUAGCAUUUGAAGCUGUAUGACUUGAGUGCAGGAGAGGUAAGUGGAAUUCCUAGUGUAGCGGUGAAAUGCGUAGAUAUUAGGAGGAACACCAGUGGCGAAGGCGACUUACUGGACUGUAACUGACGCUGAGUCACGAAAGCGUGGGUAGCAAACAGGAUUAGAUACCCUGGUAGUCCACGCUGUAAACGAUGAGUGCUAGGUGUUGGCCAGCGAUGGUCAGUGCCGCAGUAAACACAUUAAGCACUCCGCCUGGGGAGUACGGUCGCAAGACUGAAACUCAAAUGAAUUGACGGGG